UCUAGAACUCCAGAUAUGGGCUGAACACUGAAUAGUGUAUGGGCUACAUGACAGAUUCCGACUUCUCCGUUAUUGCUAAGAUUUGGACUUCUAAACAGUAGAAUUGAGUUUUUCACUCCAUAUGAAUGUUUUAGGCCUAUGUCUUAGCUUUCUAGC
rnacentral:pre_miRNA from 1 species